AGUAGAUGACGGUACCUGGAGAAGAAGCACCGGCUAACUACGUGCCAGCAGCCGCGGUAAUACGUAGGGUGCGAGCGUUAAUCGGAAUUACUGGGCGUAAAGCGUGCGCAGGCGGUUUUGUAAGUCAGAUGUGAAAUCCCCGGGCUCAACCUGGGAACUGCAUUUGAGACUGCAAGAC
rnacentral:rRNA from 1 species